GACGAACGCUGGCGGCGUGCUUAACACAUGCAAGUCGAACGGAAAGGCCCUGCUUUUGUGGGGUGCUCGAGUGGCGAACGGGUGAGUAACACGUGAGUAACCUGCCCUUGACUUUGGGAUAACUUCAGGAAACUGGGGUUAAUACCUGAUAGGAGCUCCUGCUGCAUGGUGGGGGUUGGAAAGUUUCGGCGGUUGGGGAUGGACUCGCGGCUUAUCAGCUUGUUGGUGGGGUAGUGGCUUACCAAGGCCUUGACGGGUAGCCGGCCUGAGAGGGUGACCGGCCACAUUGGGACUGAGAUACGGCCCAGACUCCUACGGGAGGCAGCAGUGGGGAAUAUUGCACAAUGGGCGGAAGCCUGAUGCAGCAACGCCGCGUGCGGGAUGACGGCCUUCGGGUUGUAAACCGCUUUCGCCUGUGACGAAGCGUGAGUGACGGUAAUGGGUAAAAAAGCACCGGCUAACUACGUG
rnacentral:rRNA from 1 species